rfam:Ailuropoda melanoleuca scaffold1071_76, whole genome shotgun sequence.
AGCUUUGUGGGGAGGCAGUAUCAUGGCCAAUGAGGUUUAUCUGAGGCACAAUUAUUGCUAAUUGAAAGGAAUAUUAUACAUCAUUACCUUAUCUUAACCUACAAAAGCAAACUUCAAUUGCGCCUGUUUUUAUGCAUAUUGUAAAAUA